rnacentral:rRNA from 1 species
UACGUAGGGGGCAAGCGUUGUCCGGAUUUAUUGGGCGUAAAGAGCGUGUAGGCGGCCAGGUAGGUGGGUUGUGAAAACUGGAGGCUCAACCUUCAGAGGUCGACCCAAACCCCCUGGCUAGAGUCCGGAAGAGGAGAGUGGAAUUCCUGGUGUAGCGGUGAAAUGCGCAGAUAUCAGGAAGAACACCCGUGGCGAAGGCGGCUCUCCGGGACGGUACUGACGCUGAGACGCGAAAGCGUGGGGAGCGAACAGG